CUAGAGCAAGUCUCCUGCAGGCCACUUCCACCGGGCCUUAAGUGGCAAAGGGAAACACAGAAUUCUGCCUGCCUCAUAUGGUCCCUUUCUACAACCCUGAAGGUAAGCUGGGCCUGAGUCUGCACUGGCCUCUCCUACUACUUCUUAGAAUCCUGGUAGGGACCAAGG
rnacentral:snoRNA from 1 species